UGGCUCAAUCGGUAGAGCGUCCGACUAUCAGUCGGAUGGUCGAUGGUUCGAGUCCGGU
rfam:Ancylostoma ceylanicum strain HY135 Acey_s0020_scaf, whole genome shotgun sequence.